GGGACUGUAGCUCAUUGGCAGAGCAUUUGUCUUGCACAUGGAAGGCACUGGGUUUGAUUCUCAGCACCA
rnacentral:tRNA from 1 species